GCUGCCGGCGCGGACACACGCUCCGCGGCUCUGCCGCCAGCCCCGUGCGCGCUCCCGCCCGGUGCGCCCGGCGCGGAAGUGGGAGGGCUCAGCCGGGGGAGCUUUAAAUGCGGAGAGGGGCGGCCGGGGUGCGUGUGGGUGAGGGCUGUGUCAGCCCCGCUGCCGAGCAGGGAGGCUCCGGCGUUGCUGGGGAAACACGAGGAAAGGACAAAGCGGGACCAAGAUUUUCUGGCAAGUGCCAUGUGAAAAUGAGAGCCCAAAGCUCAGCCCCAGCCUGGCAAGGGGAGAAGCGGAGAGCAGGAGCCAGCGAUGCUGAGAGCUGAGCACCAGCCACCACACGGGACGGGCCACCCCACACAGCCCUCAGCAAUAGCUCCAGCAUGUUCCCAGCUCUGCGAGGCAGCCGCCGCAGCUCGGCACAGCUUUCCAAGCACUGAACGGCGCUUGUGUGUGUCCCCAGCACAUGUGGGCUGCCGGCACCACAGCCCGAGCCCUGCGCACACCAGCCUGGGGGUGUUUCCCAGCUGUAAUACACCAGGAAGCACCACCUAAGGAAGUUCCCCAACUUAAAACCCACUGUUCCCCUUGCACAUGCUUGCAAAUAAACAGCAAGCAGCACAAAACCAGACCACAGACACACAGAGCCCCAGCUAUAUAACCUGCAGUAUAAAAUGCCACAGCAAAAACAGUUCCAUUAAAGAACUGCUGGUUUCUGCCUGGA